rnacentral:misc_RNA from 1 species
GGUCUCCUCAGAUGUGGAAAGAGCUGUAGACUAAGAUGGAUGAACUAUCUAAGGCCAGACAUCAAGAGAGGGAACAUCACUUCUGAUGAAGAAGAUCUUAUAAUCAGAAUGCAUGCCCUGCUUGGCAACCGAUGGUCUCUCAUCGCUGGAAGACUUCCAGGCCGAACUGAUAAUGAGAUCAAGAAUCAUUGGAACACCCAUCUCAGCAAGAGACUUAGAAGCCAAGGAACUGAUCCGAAUACCCACAAAAAAUUGGCAGAGCCAGUUCAACAAGAAGGAAAUAAGAGAAAAAGUAACAAGGGCACCUCCAACAACAAGAAACGCAAGAAAAGCAAAGUCAAAGUAGAGUCAUUAAAGCCCAAAAUCCAUCUCCCCAAGCCUGUUAGGUUUUC